GGAUGUGAGGGCGAUCUGGCUGCGACAUCUGUCACCCCAUUGAUCGCCAGGGUUGAUUCGGCUGAUCUGGCUGGCUAGGCGGGUGUCCCCUUCCUCCCUCACCGCUCCAUGUGCGUCCCUCCCGAAGCUGCGCGCUCGGUCGAAGAGGACGACCUUCCCCGAUAGAGACGUACCAUUCAUCGGUCAAGGGUAUACGGUAGCUGCGCUCCCCUGCUAGAACCUCCAAACAAGCUCAAGGUCCAUUUGUAGGAGAACGUAGGGUAGUCAAGCUUCCAAGACUGCAGACACAUCCAAGUGAGGCACUGCACGGGGCAGUCUGCCAUUGUUU
rnacentral:snRNA from 1 species